rnacentral:tRNA from 1 species
UAGCUCAGUCAGUUGAGCGUGGCACUAACAACGCUAAGGGCACGGGUUCGAUUCCCAU